AUAUAUAUAUCGGUGUUAAAAUUGCCGGUGGAGAUUAGAAAAAGAAAAGGGACUAUUGAGACUAUUCCCAGUGCAAGCAGUUUACAGUUAUAUCGUGAAUUUUCCAUUCCUAACUAAACAAAUUCAAUCUCUCCAAAAUUUCUCAACAACUUAACAAUGGCGGAUCCAAUCCCAGCGCAUCACAGAUCCGCCACCAACCUCUUCUCCGAUCCACUCGACUCCCACCCUCUAUGGUUCAAACCCGCAUCAUUCCUCUCCCCUGAUUUCGAUUCCGAAUCCUAUAUUUCCGAACUCCGAACCUUCGUCCCCUUCGAUACUCUCCGUUCAGAGCUUAACAACUAUCUCUCAUCCCUAAAUCACGAACUCAUUGAUCUCAUCAAUCGCGAUUACACUGAUUUCGUUAAUCUUAGUACUAAGCUUGUCGAUGUUGAUGCUGCUGUGGUGCGGAUGCGAGCACCGCUCGUUGAACUUCGAGAGAAGAUCGAACAGUUUAGAGGAUCUGUUGAUGUUUCGCUUGUUGCUAUAAAGAAUGGUUUGAAGCAAAGAUCUGAAGCUGCUUCUGCGAGAGAGACUUUGGAGCUUCUUCUUGAUACGUUUCAUGUGGUUUCCAAGGUUGAGAAACUAAUAAAGGAGCUGCCUAGUGUACCUUCAGACUGGUCAAAUGGAGACGUGAAUUUGUACGACAAAAAUUCAUUGAGCAAUGGCGUUUCUGUGCAGCCUGUUGAGAAUGGGACAAGUGUUAGAGAGACACAAAGUAUGUUGCUGGAAAGAAUUGCCAGUGAGAUGAACCGACUAAAGUUCUAUGUUACACAUGCAAAGGACCUGCCUUUUAUUGAGAAUAUGGAGAAGAGGAUUCAAAAUGCAAGCCUAUUAGUAGAUGCAAGCUUGGGACAUUGCUUUGUUGAUGGUCUAGAGCACCGGGAUGCAACUGCAAUUUACAAUUGCUUACGUGCAUAUGCUGCCAUUGAUAACACCAAGAAUGCAGAAGAAACUUUCCGAGUCACUGUUGUGGCUCCAUUGAUACAGAAGAUUAUCCCACAUGGGCCAUUGGCUGUGGCUGCUGGUUCAUCUGGGGAUGGGCUUGAAAAUGAUUAUCAAUUAAUUAAGGAGUGCAUUUAUAAAGACUGCAAAUUUUUAUUGGAUAUUUCUUCAGCCGAAAAUUCAGGUUUGCACGUAUUUGACUUCUUGGCUAAUUCAAUCCUUAAAGAGGUUCUCUUUGCUAUUCAGAAGGGAAAACCAGGUGCAUUUUCUCCUGGAAGACCAACAGAGUUCUUGAAAAAUUACAAAUCAAGCUUGGAGUUCUUGGCUUGUCUAGAAGGCUAUUGUCCGUCCAGGUCUGCUGUUGCUAAAUUUCGAUCCGAAGCAAUCUAUACCGAGUUCAUGAAGCAAUGGAAUCUUGGAGUAUAUUUUUCUUUGAGGUUUCAGGAAAUAGCAGGGUCUUUAGAUUCUGUGCUGACAACAUCCAGUCUUGUCCCUGUUCAAAGUUUAGAUCCCAGCGAAGCAAAUUAUCAAGACUUAACACUAAAACAAAGUGUAACACUGUUGGAGAGUUUGAGAUUGUGCUGGAGAGAAGAUGUUCUUGUCCUUUCUUGUUCCGACAAGUUCCUUCGCCUAUCCUUGCAGCUUCUUUCUAGAUACUCAAAUUGGCUGUCAUCUGGACUGACUGCACGCAAGAAUCAUAAUACAAGCACCGGCACCGGGCGCGAAUGGGCCGUUUCAGCUGUCAUAGAUGACUUUAUCUUUGUUAUUCAUGAUAUAAGAUGCUUGGAGGAGCAUGUUCAUGGUGAUUACUUACAACAUGUGGUUCAGGCGUUAUCUUCCUGCUCCCCCGAUGUUCUUGAAUCAGUAAGGCAGAGCAUUUUACAAAGUGGUCAAUCCUUGAAAUCUUUAGAACCUUUGGUCAUCAAAGCAGUGGUGGAGUCACUGGUGGAAAAAUCAGUCGAGGACUUGAGACAGAUGAAGGGGAUAACAGCAACUUACAGGAUGACUAAUAAGCCUCUACCUGUUAGGCAUUCACCAUAUGUUGCGGGAGUAUUACGUCCCCUAAAGACUUUUUUGGAUGGGGAAAGAACCUCUAGAUAUUUGGCAAGUGAAACCAAGAAAGAAAUACUCCUUUGUGCUGCAACUGAGAUUACUGACCGUUAUUAUGAAUUAGCUUCCGACCUUGUUAGUGUGGCAAGAAAGACAGAGUCUUCUCUUCAGAAAAUUAGGCAGAGUGCUCAGAGACGAGCCGGGGCAAGUUCAGACAUCGCCGAUAAUAAUGUUUCUGAACCUGACAAAAUGUGUAUGCAGUUGUUCCUUGAUAUUCAGGAGUAUGCCCGUAACCUAGCUGCCCUAGGGGUUGAAGCAGUUAAUAUUGCAUCCUAUCGUUCAUUAUGGCAGUGUGUGGCUCCAGCAGAUAAGCAGAACACAAUUAAAUUAUAAGAGUUUGCAUCUUUGGAGUCAAUGCGGCCUGUAGAUUGAUUGCUUUAUUGUUUGGUCAAGAUUUUCUUGUGUAACUUAAGGAUGAAAUCUUAUAAUACACAAAUCACAGAUUGAUAUAUAUCUUGUAUACGCUUCAUGUUUGUUUGGCUUUGGUAUCAAACACUAGUGCAAUUUGCCAAGCGUCGAAUUAACGUUUCAUUGUGAUCUAGGCAGAAAGACUACCAAAUCGUGAAAUUUGAAGUUUGGUUUGGGACAACAUGAUCUAUCUCCUUUGGCUUUUUUUAGGUAGUUUAUGUUCGAUUCGGUGCUAUUUUUAUAGGAUCUAAUUGAUUUGAAAGCAUGAUUGGUAUACAUUAUAAGUGUAAAGUAAAAUACAUAUAUCCUUUUUUUUUUUUGACAAAAACAUAUAUCCAAUUAUACUUCAUCAUUAUGUCAUUUUAUUAUAUUAAUUUUAAAAUAUCUCUACAAUCAUCUAUGUGGUAAAAUGUAAUUUUAUGCGUGUAAAACUUAUAUUACCAAUGAUAUUUGGGUCUAGUGGAAGGAGCUAGACUUCCACAAUGUGGUGAA